GUUCUACUGGUGUUACUGGUUCUGCUGGUGAGACGAUGUGUUCACAGGAAACCUGACGUGAGAGAUUCAGCUGCAGUGCCCUCAUCAGUGACAUCUGAAGACACCAGUUAUGCAGAAAUCAUCAUCAAAGAGAAGCAAAACAAUUCAAAGAUGAGAGAGACUGACACACAUGUCGUGUACUCAGCAGUGAGAACUGAAGCUGUCAGUUAUGGACAAACAGCUGUCACACCAAACAGGCAAAGAGGAGUCGCCACAGCAAAUCACCUGUGUGCAUCUCACCCCAGUAUGCAUUUGUUGGAUCGAGAUGCUGUCAUAGAGGGGAUAUCCGUAACAUGCUCAUCUCAGGCACAAUGGCCACGCCCACCUAAGGGCAGACAAUCACAUGAAUGUUUGACGAAUGUUAAAGGUCAAAUCAGACAGAGAAUGAGGACAGAGGCUACAGCAAGGUUCAGUAUAAGAUAGAUAAGGUUUAUUUAUAACUGUGAAUCAUGCAAAGCUACUAUAAAUAGAGAGAAUUCAUGUUAAAUGUGGGUUGUAUCUAUUAUCCUGUCCUGCAGCGUGGAAGCAGACAGUUUCCCAUGUAAGUAUAGCACAAAUUACAACUAAACUCAAAUAAAGCCAAUAUCAAUGUGUUUCAACCCAGUUACUUCCUGUCUUCCUACGCAGUUCAUUUUUUCCUAUACACAUGGGUCAAACUGGGUCAUGGUUUGCACACCCACACCGCUUUACUGCUACAACACAACUGA